UGGUUUAUACGGGGAUGAGGGUGGUUUAUACGGAGGUUAGGGUGGUUUGUACGGGGUUAGGGCUAGUUUAUACAGGGUUGGUAGUUUUGGGUUUUUGUACAAGGUUAGGAGUUUUUCUACGGUGGUGUUAAGCGAGAUUGAGGUAUUUGUUAUUGUGAUAUUUUCUUGGUGUUUUUUUUUUAAUAUGUUAAAUUGAGUAUAUUAUUUUCUUUGCAAUUUGCAGUUUGCAGUUUGGCUCAAUUGAUUUCUUGAAAAUUGAAUAACAUGAUUGAUUUAGGUGCCUAAGAGUGGAUUUUGGUGAAGGCUGCAAAUGGGAUAAUAUAUGUUUAAAUUGAUUUAUUCCCUUAAUUUUGCUAUUGAUGAUGUUCCUGGGUGAAAAAUUUGAUGUUAGAUUGUGACAAGAUUUAUAAAUUGAAAUGCAUUUAGCUACGCAGGAAGAGGAAGAGAUGAUUUGUUGCUAAAUCAGUUGUUAAGGAGGAUGACCAAUUCAAGAAACUCGCUUAGUUGAUGUAUGGAGGGCUAAAGAAAUUACCAAGGAUGUGUUGAAUUCACUUGUUGUAUAAAAAUGAUGGGAAUGUUGUUAGUUUUGGUAACUUGUAAAUUAUUGUUACUUGUAAUUUAUUUCCAAAAAUUCUCUUAUAUAUGUAAAUUAUUGUUCGUAUAUACUUGUAAAUGUAACUACUAGUAAAUUCAAUAAUUAUAUAAGUUUAUGUAAAUUUAUCUAA